CCUACGGGGCGCAGCAGUGGGGAAUAUUGCACAAUGGGGGAAACCCUGAUGCAGCAACGCCGCGUGAGUGAAGAAGUAUUUCGGUAUGUAAAGCUCUAUCAGCAGGGAAGAGAAUGACGGUACCUGACUAAGAAGCCCCGGCUAACUACGUGCCAGCAGCCGCGGUAAUACGUAGGGGGCGAGCGUUAUCCGGAUUUACUGGGUGUAAAGGGAGCGUAGACGGUUCUGCAAGUCUGGAGUGAAAGCCCGGGGCCCAACCCCGGAACUGCUCUGGAAACUGUGCGGCUAGAGUACUGGAGGGGCAG
rnacentral:rRNA from 1 species